rnacentral:lncRNA from 1 species
UUAAAAUACACACGCAACAGAAAUUCUUGAGGUCGGAAUAGACACGCACCAGAAUUUUUUUUUGAGGAUAUACAUGCACGCACCAGAAAUUAAUUUUUUUUGGAAGGAGAUACAGGCACCAAAAAUUUUUUAAAAGGAGAUUCAUGGCUUAAAGAAGUAGCCAGCAUGCACCAAAAUAUCUAAAAGAGGUUGUUGAUAGAGAUCGAGAGAAAAGACAGGCUACUCUUGAUCUUCUCUUGAAUAGCCAAAAAAUUUCCAAAAUUCAAUCCUCAGAGUUUGAACUAAAGGAAGGAAAGCGUACUUCGCUAGCCAGGACAGACAGGGCAGGCAACUCCAUUUACAACAUUAGACACCAACUUUUGAAGUGUUGGCAGGGGAAUCACGCACUCACGGAUAGGUAAGUUUUAGAUGAAAUUUUAAUUUUUUUUUUUUCUUUUUUGGUUUGAUAGAUCUUAUUUUAUUUAGUUAUAUUUUGAAAUUAUAAAAUAUUAAUCUUGAUGAAUUUUAUUUUAAUUUAUGUGUCUUAGAAAUAUUAAUUUUUAGUUUGAUAGAUUAUGUUAUUUAGUUUUGUUUUGAAAUUGUGAAAUAUUAGUUUUGAUUGAUCUUUGAUGAUAUUUACUUCUUUGAUUCUUAGGUUUUUAAUGUUAUUGAUCCCAAGUUGGUAUUCUUUAAAUAUCUUAAAUGAUGGUUUUGAUUGAUCUUGAAAGUUGUAUGGAUUUAUCUUCUUUGAUUCGUAAGUUCUUAAUGUUAUUGAUCCCAAGUUAGUAAUCUUUGAAAAACUUUAGAUGAUAUUUUUGAUGGGUUCGUAUUCUUUUAAAUCUUAGAUGAUGAUUUUGAUUGAUCUUGAUAAUUGAUAUUUAUUUCCUUGAUUGUUUAGUUCUUAAUGCUAUUGAUCCCAAGUCGGUAUUCUUUAAAAAUCUUAGAUGAUAGUGUUGAUUGAUCUUGAAAGUUGUCGUUUAUCUUUUUUAUUCUUUAGUCCUUAACACUAUUGAUCCCAAGUUGGUACUCUUUAAAAAUCUUAGAUGAUAGUGUUGAUUGAUCUUGAAAGUUGUCAUUUAUCUCUUUGAUUCUUUAGUCUUUAACACUAUUGAUCCCAAGUUGGUACUCUUUAAAAAUCUUAAGCGAUGGUUUUGAUUGAUUUUGAAAAUUGUUAUGUAUCUUAUUGAUUCUUUAGUUCUUAAUGUUAUUGAUUCCAAAUUAGUACUCUUUAAAAUUCUUAGGUAAUAGUUUUGAUUGACCUUGAUGAUUGUUAUUUAUUUCUUUGGUACUUUUGUUCUUAAUGUUAUUAAUCCCUAGUUAGUAUUAAAAAAUAAAAAUAAAAAAAACCUUAGAUCUAUUUGGGACUAUAAGCUUGGAUUCACAUUUGACUCAAAACCAAAUUUUUAUCAAAAAUAAAAAGGUGCAAACUGGUUUUCAACACUUUUGAGAGACGAUUGUCUUCUACAUCCAAAAAGAAAAAAAGUCCAGGAUUUCUCCCUUUCAAAACCCACACUUGAGACCUUUAAGUUAUAGAGCAAAAGAUUUUAGACUUUUCAUGUUGAAUUGAUUUGGAAAUGUCUAAAUCAAUUCUUUGGAUCCUAGAUUUGUAAAAAUAUUAUUUUUGCUUCCAUUGCAUAGGAUCAAGAGACCUAGAAAAUUAAAGUGAUAUUUUGGUUUUGGGCCAAUUUUCAAAAAAUUGGAAGUUGUGAGGAGGAUUGUGAGCAAAAAAUCCAAAAUUUUUUGGCCUUUUUUCGUGGAAAAAAAAAAACUCUAUUUUUUAAAAAAUAUUUAUCUUUUUUUAAAAAAAAAAAUUAUUCAUUUCUAAUUAAAUAUUUAUCUUUUUUGUUUUGAAAAAACCAUUGAUUAUUAGCGACAUUUUAAAAAAAAAAAGUCUAUUUUUUUUUAAAUAUUUAUCUUUUUUUGUUUUAAAAUUAUUCAUUUCUAAUUUAUCUUUUUAUUUUAAAUUUAUAUUAUCCUUUUAUUUUAUAUUAUGAUUUUAUUUUUGACUACUUUUCAUAUUUAUCACAUUAAUACUAUUUUAAAAAAUCACUAUCACUUUAAUUUUAAAUAUUUUUAUUUUAAAAUAUUUAAAUAUAAUUUUAUUCAAAAAUUGUUGAAAUAUAAAAGCAAUGAAGUUAUAAUAUUUUAUAAAUUAAGAUUAAUUUGAUAAGAUAAAUUAUUAAUAUAAUUUAUAAUCAUUUUAAUUAUUUAAAUAAAUUAAUGUUAAUAGAAAACAUUGUAACUACAAAUUUGUAAUAAAAUUUUAGAAACUAAUAUCCAUUUAAUUUUUUUAUUUAAAAUGUAAUAAAAUAUUUUUUAAUAAAAUUUGUUUUUUAUUUUUAAAAUAAAUGAAUAUAAAUACAUUAAAUGAAUUUAAACUUAAAAAAAUUGAUAAAUAUUAUCUUUAAUCAUAUUUAUAUCAAUUACUUUCUUAUUUGAAAAUUUUCUAACCAUUUUCAUGAAUUUUAAAUAAUUUUUUUCCAUCAAUAUUUUUCUCAAAUAUUUCAUAUAUCCGUAUUUACCAUUAUUUGCAUAAGACUCAAGUAACUUCACACCCACACAAACCUAAAUUAAUUGGAAUUGACAACACAAGACAACCCAAAUAAUAGGAACCAAAUCUUAUCCCUACAACAUAAGAAUUCCCAUUUAUUUCUUUAACUCCUAAAUCUUCUCCAUGUACCAUAGCUGCCAACCAGACCUCUACGGGCCACAGGCCUCAGAAUGGGCGACGGCUGGUCCGCACCAAGCUGCACCCAAAAGGGUUUGGCUCUGAUCAAACUUACGCGCUGUGUCUGGUAUGAUCAGUUUGCGUGAGGCUGAAACAUAAUGGCAUGGGCUCGAGUCAAAAAGUUAAUGCACAACUGGACCCAAUCAAUAUGCUUCAUGGACCACAAAUACAAACAUGAUCAAAAGUUCCAUGGCUUUUCAUGGGAAGCAAAAGGUCUGGUAUAAAAUAAAAUUAUACAAAUGAAGGUAUCGAGACUAGCUCGCCAAAAUAUAAGUUUCAAGGAAAGCAUACAAGAAUAUCUGAUUUACACUGUGACUCCCUCCCCUUCUAAACAUCUAUACACAAGUGGGGUCGGAGGAUUCUGUAGUAUACACCUCGACGGUUAUCAAGUUAAAUUGAAGUUGGUUAGAAAUGACUGCCCAAACCAGUAUUCAAUGCCGGUCUACAAACACAAAUCCAAGGGAACCACCCUUUAGCCAAAACACACCAGCAGAGCGUGGAAAAAUUGUUGGUACUGUGCAGCCCACAAAACUGUCAAAUUUAUAAUUGCAGCAAUUACUGGAGGGGAUCGUGUUACGAUUCUGAAAUGGGUUUGGAUUUGAAGAACUUCGCAACCGCCUGAUACAGAUUCUCUUCCUCAAAAGGCUUUGAGACAUAGCCAUCCAUCCCACAUUUCAGGCACUUGUCGUAUGUGGCGUGAAUCACAUCAGCUGUCAUGGCUAAUAUUGGCACAUGCCACUCACCUUUUGUAGCAGCUCCCUCAGGGGUGCAUCCUCCAUUCAUCUGUUCAUUUGCCUUACUCUCGAUCAGCCGUAUUCGACGUGUUGCUUCAAACCUGAAAUAAGAAAACAUGAAAAAAAAUUGUUGCCAUUGAGUAUGCAUCUCUGCAGAUUUAGAUCAGUCCAUAGCAUCUGACAUCUAUUCACCAUGUGGAGAAAAAGGUUGCCAUUAUGUGGAGAAGAAGGAUGGAAUGAAGUCACUUCUUGCAACUCUAAAUCAUCAUACGAAUACAGGACCUUAUUAACUAAUGCCACAUAACAGAAGCAUUAUUAACUUCCAUGGUGAGAUGACCAUCCAUGUCAAACUUCACUUCUAGAAUGAAGAAAAGAAACUUAAGUCUUUCACAAAAAUUUUUAAAAAAUACUCAAUGAUGUCAAUGGUCAGUGUUCUCUUCACCAAGUGAUUCUAUAUUUUAUAUUUGUUUCUCUAUAUAUCUUGACACAGAAGGGUUACUUUACAAGACAACAGAGUUACGCAAGGUCUCCUUUCAAAAGGGUUGAUAAAGUAAGAAUAAAACUAAUGAAUAAAUAUACCACUGUUGAAGGAAAAUUGGGCAAUUAGGUGAAGUUCACAAUUUUGAGUUCUUGAGCAGCAAUAGGGUGAUUCUCCAAAGACAAAAACAGAAUUAUGCAACAAGAGUCAACAAAAAAAAUCUUCAAUACAUACCCAUCCAUUUCUGGCAUCUGAAUAUCCAUGAAGCAAGCAUCAAAGUUGUGUGGUAACUGAAGCAAUUGCAAUGCAGCUUUGCCACUCUCAGCACACUCCACAUCAGCCCCAAACUUUUUGAGUGCACCUGCAGCCACUCUGCGGUUUACCUUAUUGUCAUCAACAACCAAUAUUUUUUUGCCACAGAGUAAGCUCUGAAGAAAAGCAGAUCCAUUAAGCAUGUCUUUCCCUUGCUGCCUCUUCUUCCCCAACCCUAGCACUUGUUGAAGACAUGCUGCAACCAUGCUAGCCCUCAAAGGUUUCAUGAUCACAGUAUCUGCAAAGCCAGCUGCCUUUGCUUUAUCAAACUCUGCACUGCUAAUAUUGGUUGCAAGAAGGAUCAUCUUAGGUAAUUUCAAUGUGUGUCUAUUCUGUUUCCAGUCCAAUAGCCGAAGAUUCAGAUCAGCAUCCUCCUCAGAAAUCCAUGAAUCCUUCUCAACCAGAAUCAUAUCUGGCUGAUUUCCACUUCUGCCAUAUAAAAGACAUCAUUCAAUGAGUUGAUCAUAUAAUUACUAAAGAUCAUAAAUGGUGGAUCUGUCUCAAUUUUCUAUUUGUAAUCGUUUCCCCAGCAUAAGUUGUUUACCCUGCUGGGGUAACUUCAACUGACUAUCUUGUGGGAAUUGAAGCUAGCAUUCCAGUUCAAGUAGUGUUAGGAUUUCUCUAUAGGCAUCAGUUGUUGAGUUCUGAUUGUUCCAUAAGCUCUCAUAGCAAAGCUUAUGUAAGAGUCCACCUUCAUAUUUAGGAAUGACGUUGUUACUAAAAUGUUUACAUAGCUACCUUUUUUCUGGGUUACCAAGAAUUCUUUACUCUUAUCUCCAUUAUCCAUUAUCAAGUAAAUUUUUCUUCAUCACCUAGCCUGAGACAUAGACCAGACAAGGUGAAACAGAAAAAUCCUUGUGUUUUAUGUCAAUUUCUUUGAGAGCCAAUUUUUGGACUACAACCACAAAUGAGGACAACCAUUGGAAUUUCCUUUGUUUUUCUUUUUCAGGACUAGUUGAGAAAAGUUCAGACAAUGUGAAUAACAAGAACACUGAAUUUUCAAAGCCACCAAAGAAAUCACAGAUAUAUAUGAAAUACGAAAACCAAACAAAACUUUGGCAACUUUUCAGUAUGGGCAGAAUUAAGGUUUUCCUUCCUUUUAGCAACAAAUAGGGGAGCCAGUAUCCAUUUGACUGUGACUCCCCCUUCUGUAAUCACAAGAAGAGGCAGGAAAAGGUAAUAUCAAAGGCCCCAGUUUGCCUGAUAUCAGAUCAGAAAGGAAAAUCAGGCCUUGGACCAAAAGAGGAAAUGCAGUUAGGACCAUUAAAUCUGAAAUUUCAAAUCCUUCACUAAUAAUACUCACAGCUAAAAAGCUAAAGAACUUACCCAGAUGUCAGAGAACCAUUUUUUCCAGUUAUUGCAACUGCCUUCUUGAUGCUAUUAGCAACUUCAACCAGGAUUCCAAGUCUCUUCAGAUGGUACUUGGUUACAAUAGCUCUAACCGGUCUUCCAUCAACUACAAUUGCUUUUAGUCCUCUAAAACCAAUAGGCAGAUCAUCUGAAUUACUUUUCUUCAGAUCACUAAGUGCAUUUUUCUUACACCUCCCAAAGUCAGCAGUAAACGAAAAUGUGCUUCCAAUCUGAGGCCGACUUAUGAAUUUUAUCUGACCACCCAUCAGCUCUACCAAACACUUGCUGAUACUCAGACCAAUACCAGUUCCUCCAUAAUUUCUAGAGGUUGAACUGUCUGCCUGCAUAAAGGGUGUGAAAACUCGACCCUGAGCACGCAAAGGGAUCCCAAUUCCUGUAUCCUCCACAGACACCAUCAAAGUGACUUUCUCAGAAGCUUCACUGGUGACUGUCAUUAUAUUUGAAGCAUCAGAUCGCAAAUCUUCAUCAAAAAUUAAAUGCUUAAAUCUAUCCCAACUGUUCUGGUCAUCAGCUGCUUCACAACCACUUAAAGUUCUAAAUUGACUGCCACCAUUCGAAACUAAACCUUCAUCUGAUCCUCCAUUCAAACAUGUCUCAGCUUUAGCAUCCAUUAGAGCCUUUGUGUGUUCAGCUAAAUGGACUUGAACAAAUAUGUGCCCUCGCUCAGUAAACUAUCAAAAGCAAAAUCCAAUGAAUAUCAAUUAUUUCUGGAGGUAGAUGUGCAAAUACUACAAUUGACUUUACAUGGUGCAAGAUUAACUUUAAAGGAGAGCUCAAAUUAAGUUCUUUUUUUGUGACUGCAGACACAAUGCUCCACCAGUCCAGUAGAUCAUCAAACACAACAAAAGAAACAAAAAUAAAAUAACAUAUUUUCAGCUAGUGACUUGAAAUAACAAGGCUCGAGUGAUUCACUUACUUUAACAGAGUUGCCCACAAGAUUUGUAAUUAUCUGUCGAAAUCUCCCAGGAUCCCCAAUAACCAUUUCAGGAACUUUAUCAGAAACAAACACGGCCAGCUUCACUUCCCCAAUUGAUUAUGUACCACCAUGUCAGAAAGUUAAAGAGUGUUAAACAGCAUCAUGACAACCACCAGCCAUUGAUUUCAGAAACCCCAAAAAGAGAAAAGGAGUAAAAAGAAAUGAACAAACUCAGUUCAAACAGGCAAAAUACAAGCUACUUCAUAUUUUAUGGACUACAAGAACUACAUCUAAAAAAAUGAAGAAUGGAGCAAUCUUUAGCCAUCUUUUUGUGUGGCAAAUAUUCCAGCCAAGAAAAGAAAAGGGACAGAUAACAAUUGACUAGCUUUUAUCACAGUUCAGUAAAAGUUACCUCAAGACCUUUGUGCCUAGACUUCUCAGAAAAUAGAGAGAGGACAUCAUCUAGUAUGGAUCGAAGGUUGAAGGGGACUGCUUCGAGCUCUAAUUUUCCAGCUUCAAUUUUUGCCCGGUCAAGAACUUCAUUUAUUAAUGUUAUUAGUGCCUUUCCACAGGCUUGAGCAGUUUGAGCAUAAUCUCUCUGGGUUGAACUCAAAUCGGUAUCUAGGAGCAGAGCAAGCAUUCCUACAAUUAUAGCGAAAACAGGGAUGACAUUACUGUUAGACAGAUUUAAGUGCCUAAAUUUUACUUGUUUUUAAAAGAAAAAUUGUAAAAGAGGAUGUUGACCAUACCUAGGAUGCCAUUCAUGGGUGUCCUAAUUUCAUGAGAAACAGUAGCCAGAAACUGGAAUCAGGAACAUAAAUAAUAAUCAGCUACAACAUUCAUAGUCUACAAACAGGGAGUAAACUAUUGCUCUAAAACAGGUUCAAUACCAUACCUGGGAUUUGGCGACAUCAGCAGCUUCUGCUCGGACUUUUAAUUCCUGCAUUUCAUGGAAAUCGUCCUCAACUUUAACAAUGUGAAUUGCGGCACCAUACAAGAUAUAACCUACUAAUAAACCGAUUACAAAGAAUAGAAAUGCGGUGGUGAGGCUUGUCCAUGAUGUGGGUUCCUUCUGAUGAUAUCUACAGAGUACCCAACCGAUUAGUAUCCCAUAACAGAAACCUCAGAACUUUAACUUUUGUUUGAAAUAACCACCAAUCACUAGAUGCACUUACCUACAUAUCAUUUGGUGCUUCCUGAAUGGAUCUCCAAAGUCAAGCUUGCUCUCAUGCAAAAGGGACAUGUCAACAUCUUGAUAUUGGCGUCCAUACAUAACCAAGGGAUCAGAAGAAUUAGUUACAUCAUAGACAUUCACCAAAAUUGCCUGAUUCCCAGCAAGUUGCCCAAGUAAAUUCUCCACCAGGGACUCCACAUCAAAGGCUCCACCAAGGUAUCUGCUUUCAAUCAGAAUUUUCAUUUUACCCAUGAAUGCAUCCAGAACUUCCAUAUGAACAAACACACAAAAUUGAAGUUGAAUUAAAAUGAAGGCAUACACUUAUCACUCAUAUACAGAGCUUCCACACCAUACUGUAACAUGCAAAACUGGUAAGCAUGUAAUAUUAUAACCAACAAUCCAGCCUUACCUAAUAUUAAACCAAAGACCCAACCACAGACGUGAGAAUAUCACAUGGAUACCGUACUCACAUGCAAUCCUCUGAAAAUGAACAACAUAAAAGGUAUGCCAUUACUUUAUUUUUUUUCUUUUCUUGUAUCAGGUACUGCACAGUUUAUACAAAAACGUCACAAAUGCAGCAAGCAACAAGCCAAUUAAUGGUCCAAUAUCAUCAGCUUUUCAUCCCUUCAUCAUUUUGUUACAAGGAGGCCUCCAUCAUUUCUAACUCAUGUUUAGAUUUGAUAUAGCCUUCCCAGACAAAAAAGAGAGAACAAUUAAGGGCAAAAGAUUGCCUACUAAAUGCCUGAAUACUCAACCAUAAAAACUGACACACACAGUCCAUUUGGAACAUGGUUCAAAGUCACAGUAUCGGUCAUUGACUCGGAGGGUUCCAAGGCACUUUAGUCUCAAUGUCUCGGCUCAAUAUUGAACUAUACGUAAAUAAGAUGGAUUAAGAAGUUAAAAAAAUUAUAAAAAUAUUGUGAAAAUUAUUUAAAAAUAAAUAUAAUUAAAUAAACUUUAGAAACUAAUAAACUUUAAAACAUAUUAACAUAAUAAUAAAUGUAAUGGUUUCAAUAAAUUAUUAAGAACAAAUUAGCAUAUAAAAUAAUAUAUUAUAUUAUGAUAUGAUUAACAUAAAAAAUAAUCCAUUAACCAAAUUGAAGUAAUAUAUAUCAUAGCUUAGCAUAUAAAAAUAAUAAUCUUCAAAUUCCAAUUUAUAAGACGCAUCAGCAUUUGAAGUAAUCAAUAAUUUACCCCUUUUAAUAUAAAAUAAUGUAUUUACCCCAUUUAUCUUCAAAUCCUCAAUCCCACACGACAUACACAGAGAGUACCCCAUUUAGCAAACGUAGAGAACCUCCUCUGCAACUGCAUGCCCACACCACCGGAGUCGGAGCAAAGAAAAGCAACACCUACAUGCAGAGAUCGUCGUUGAUGGAAGAAUCUAAUGUUUCUCACCGGUCAAUGACAUCAUUGAUAGGAAGGAUGUCUUCUUUCUUCUUCUUCUUCAUCAUGGGUAAGGGUCAUGGGUUUUGAAACUCUUCUUUUUGAAGAAAAUCACUGAUUUUUCAGAGAUUUCUCAAUUUCGGAUGCUCCUUGUGAUUUGAAAGGGGAAAAAAAGAUUUAUGGGUAAAACAAAGGAAUAUUCGGAUCUUCAACCGAGUCAACCCGGAAUCUCGAGUAAACUGGGUUUAACGAUUCUUGGGCGAGUUUGUGAUUAAGAUGGUAUCGGGUAUCUAACUCAGCAUGGAAAGGCCCAAGGCGGAUACAAUUCAGCCAAUACUUUGAACCCUGAUUCGGAGGUGUGCAUUAAACAUCACAAAUUCAAAAUGUUUUAGCAAUUCUAUCAGUUUACACUUCCUCCAUUGCUAACAUGUGCAUUUCCAGGCAUGUAAAAGAGUCUUAAUCAUGAACAGAAAUAAUAUCUUUCUUCCCUUUAUUUUCAGUAUAUGAAAUCCCUUAAAAGUAAAAGUACAGUUGUUCACUAGUAAAAAUUUUCAAGACAUCUAAAUCCCAGCAACUGGUAUAGUUGGUAGCCUAGAUGACUAUAUGAGUUCAAGGACAUGUUUACAAGUACAAAUUGAAAGAGGAAAAGGAGUGGCAUCAGAGAAAGAUCCAACCAUUCAUACUCCAACAAUCUAUUCUCAUAAUUACCAAAGUGACCUAAUCCUUACUUUUGGAAAUUAUGGAAAUCCAACAUAAAUUAGAUUCACAACAUAAAACCAACAUAUACCCAACAUAAUUUCCAAAUAUGUGUCAAGUUGAGAAAUGCAUCCUCAACUUGUUUCUUCUUAAAAUCGUCAACCAUAAUGCAGUAUGGACACACCUAUAUAUUUCUAAUCUUACACUCUAUCACUGAUUAAUAACAACAUUUAUCAUCUAAAGCCUGUAUAACACUAAGUCACUAACAGAGAAGCACACCUUCAUGUAAAAGCAUUGAGCAGACAGAUGUUUAACUAUUUUGGAAUUUCCAAGGAAGUGGCAAAAUGGAAUUAGUAUUAUUUUAAAAAACAACCAACCUUUAGAUUGACCUACAACAUAGCCCACCGGCCACAGCUAUCACACUAAAUAGAACAAGAUGUCAUGGCUAAGUCUCACACAUCAUGAAAUGAAAAGAUAACCAACUCGUUUGAGAUUCAAAGCUUAUCUAGAAUUAACAAAAAGGAGACAGAGAUAGAUCAGAGCAAACGAUUGCAUGGGAUGCAAACAACGUGACACAGGUAACCUCAUUAAGAUUUAAAGCUUGUAUAUGAGUCUAUUGGAAAUUCACCAAGAUCAGCUGAAAGAAUCAAAACUUCAAAUUAAAACUACUCCUAUCUUGAAACCUAUUCAUAAUAAUAUCCAAAGCACUAAGAUUAGCUCUAGUGGAACAUUGUUUUGACCCCUUGGCACAUGAGAAAAUCUUAUUUUAUUUCCAAGGCAGCAAGCAAUAAGUAGGGAAGAACUACUCUGCAUUGCCACCAAAGUUGUACCAAAACGUGAGGAAAAUAAAACAUCUGAAUACUUCUAAGUAACUGAACUGCCCCAUGGGAACCGGAUCCUUCAAUUUUGCUCCAGGUUUAAAAUGAUUAAAUUUAUGAAUCACGAUGGGAUACCUUAAUCAUGCAAUAUGUGCAAAUUACAGCCUCCAAGCAAUUAAUUUCUUCAGCAGGCAUCAAAUGAAAAGAAGGAUAGACUUGGUGGUUUGAAAUCUCUCAUACAACUUGAGAUACUUCUAUUCCCUACUGGUUCCUCAAGCAUUUUGGAUCUUCAAAUUGAGUGAUAAAUUUCCAUUUUGAGCUAAACUUUUCCCCAUUAAAUCCAAUUGUCAACAGCUUCUUCAAUCAAUUAUUCCAAAGAUAAAAUUGGUAUGAAUAGACUUUCAAUGACAAAUAUAUAGCAAUAAAACAGAACUCACCCUGCAGUUGCUUCAAUGCGCUGUUCCACUGUUGGGUUGGGAGGAAGCUUGGACUUGUAAACAGGGAAUGUCAACACAACGCCAAGAUGAUGAGAACCAAGCAGCCUGAAGGGGCUUGUCAAGACGGCUUUCCCAGUAGCCCUAGCCCUCAAAAUGUUUUCCCGAUCCUCCUGCAUCAACCAUAUGUUAACAUCCCAAUAAAUAAAAUUCCAAACAAUUGAAUAUCACAGAACCAAGAGUUCACCUCGCCAGACAUCAUAUCAAGUGAUUCAAUGUAGGAAACAGUUUCCUGAGAAAAUAUCACAGGUGCAUACUCGUCUCGAAUCGGCGAAGCCUCUCUCUUCAUUGUCUUUAUAGUCCACCCAUGUUGCUUCUCAAAUCUCUCCCUCUCUGAAUAAGCCACUCUUUGUGCAUAGGCCACCCCACUCAGUAAAGGCCGCUCAAAAGCUGUUCUCGCCGUGUACUCAGCAAAAGUUUCCUGCAUUUCCCGCAAGAAACCAUUCCCACAACACAAACAAUCAAAAAGACAAGAAACAGAAAUCAAAUUCCUAGAUGAAUAAAAGUGAGGAACGAACUUGGUCAAUGGCAGAUGGGUUUUUGUAAUAAUGAAAGGUGGAGACGAGAAUGGCGAGGGCGUGAACAUGGUUAACACUAACGCUGAAUUGAUCUUGCAACAUUCUCGCUCGCUGAUCACACAUGCUCACAAGCACUUCCUCCCUUCUCUCCUUGUUAGCAGCAUCCAUUUUAUUGUAGACGAAGUUACUGAAAACGGCCAUCAACAUGAUCCAGAACACCAGAAAUUUUGGAAGCCAAGCCCUGUUGGCUUGAAUAAAUGUGUAGCCUCUUUUGGUACCCAUCUGCUCGUUCAACCUCACCGCCACUGAGUGGUGGCUCUGCAUCUUCAGACCCAUCAAGAAGGCUUCUUUCUCUGCUUCUCGCCCUCUCCCUUUUUCCCACUUCAAGCCCGAACUAGAAAAUCCCCAAGUUUCAGAACCACUUUUUCUGCUGUAGAAACAAAAGGGCACUCUAAACUUGGAGUAAAUUAUCAUUAUAGCAUUGUUUUUCGUGAUUCAAAUAUCAGCCAGAAACAAGAAUGAGAAACCAAAUCCCCUUCUCUCUAUACAGACAUUUCUACAUUUCCAAGAAAUGUCGAAAUUUCUACAAAUACAACCAAGGGAACACAACCGAUACCCCCUUUCCUCUCUCUCCUCUCUCCAAAACUGCCUCCCCAAAUUUCUACACCGGACAGAGAGAAGAGAACCCAGAAUUCCAGAAGGAAAAUAUCUCUCACUACUUAGACAACAAGCAUGGCGCGUUGCAGUUCUCAAAAGAUGGACAAGAGGCUCAAAUUCCAAGAAGUCUCUCCAUCCCUACAAGCCUUCCUUUGCUUUGAGGCCUUGAUUGCAAAGGAAUUAUAAAAAAAAAAACAAUAUUACAGAAAACUCUAAUCAUGCACUGUUUACUUGAAAGCGUGAAGUUUAGUUGAGGCGUCAGGACAAAGAAGAGCACGUUCGCUGUGUCUCUAACUUUCUACUUUAUUUAUCAAACAAAGGAAGGAAAAUCAAACCCCCAUAUUGACUCCAUUAAACUUUUAACACCAGCUAAGCACAACCCACAUCCAAAAUACAAAAGUGGAGAGAUUUUUAGAGAGAGAGAUAAAAAGGCAAUUGCUGUUCAAGUUGAAUGGAACCAAACCAACCUGUUCUUUUGGGUGACAUUGAAUAACAAUUGCAUUGUGUGCUGUGUAAUGUGAAAUGCUCCUCCCUGUCUCUCAAGUUUUUCUGUAUUUAAUAAUGAGAGAACCCCUUUUUCUUUUCUUUUUAAAGCAACUCAAUCGAAUUUUAGGAUUUUUUGAAGAUACGCUCUUGUCUCCCCUUCAACCAUAAACUAAUACCCAAAUGCUCCUCUGCUUUCUCCUUUCUCUCUCCUUCUCCAGCUACUCUCACAGACAAAACAUUACAUGCAUUGCCCUCAAUUUUGGAGCUUCAAC